CUGCUCCCUGCGCACUCUCUGUAAUGAUGCCGGGGCCGGAUCUUCUUCCUUUUCCGGUUCCUGGCAUCAUUAUACAGCAGACAUAGUACUGCCCCUCGCACACUGCCUACAAUGCUCCAUCCUCCUCCAAUAUUCCCCGACUGGUGCCGUCAAAGCUCCCUCGGCAGCCACACUAACUAGAGAGCUUGCAAAUCCCAGGCGCCAGGGUGUAAUUUCUAGUCACCAGGGCGACAUGGCAC